UGACGAGACCCAAACAGGUCGAAACAGCCCGUC
rnacentral:hammerhead_ribozyme from 1 species